UCCAGCCAGGCCAAGUGUUGGGGUUCAGAGGACAAAGGAAAGGGACAUUUCAAGGAAGUCCCUACUUCCUUAGAACCAGUGUUCCUAUCUCCUUUACUCAUAUGAUGUAUUGAAACAUCCUUCACGUUCCAAAUGAAGGAAACUGAACCUAAGAGAGGAAGCUUUACUCACCUAAGACCACACAGCUAAUAAAUAGGGAUGGAUCCUGCAACCUUGAUGUAUCGAGACC